rnacentral:rRNA from 1 species
UCGGGAACUCAGUGACAGGUGCUGCAUGGCUGUCGUCAGCUCGUGUCGUGAGAUGUGGGGUUAAGUCCCGUAACGAGCGCAACCCCUAUCCUUAUUUGCCAGCACAUCAUGGUGGGAACUAUAAGGAGACUGCCGGUGAUAAGCGGGAGGAAGGUGUGGAUGACGUCAAGUCCUCAUGGCCCUUACGGGUUGGGCUACACACGUGCUACAAUGGCAGUGACAAUGGGUUAAUCCCCAAAAACUGUCUCAGUUCGGAUUGGGGUCUGCAACUCGACCCCAUGAAGUCGGAAUCGCUAGUAAUCGCGUAACAGCAUGACGCGGUGAAUACGUUCCCGGGCCUUGUACACACCGCCCGUCACACCAUGGGAGUUGGUUCUACCCGACGACGCUGCGCUAACCUUCGGGGGGCAGGCGGCCACGGUAGGAUCAGCGACUGGGGUGAAGUCGUAACAAGGUAACCGUA